GGCACUCGGAGCUGCAGCCUUGGAAGAAAAUAGGGAUUCUGAGAGGUGGAAGGUAUUUUGUCUCACUUCCAUCCCUGAGAAUCCCUGAUUCCCGCCAAGGCAUCUUCCUUCUGUUCCAG
rnacentral:precursor_RNA from 12 species